rnacentral:lncRNA from 1 species
GCAGAUGCAGGAGGACAGUGAAUAAAGCUGUUCAAGCAGAGAAGCUGGUGGGUGAGUCAGAGCAUGGCUGGCCUGAGAGGAAGUCGGGCAUCCAGGUGGGAUUUGGUUACACAGUGUCCUUUGUGACCAGGCAGUGGCAGGGCCUCUGUGGGACCUCGGGGGAGGGGUCUAUGGAACUGUAAAUGGUCGCAUUGCCUGUUGGCAGAGGAAGAGCCUUUGCUUCUGGGUAAACAAGAGGACCACAGUGCCAGCUCUUCAGUUAUCUGCAUCUCGCCAGGAAGGCCGAGCCUCUCCAAGCUGGGUUCUGAUGAAGUUGCUCUUUCAUCUGCAGGACCCUCUUGGCAAGAAUUCGGGCAGCACACUGUGAAUCCAAGUGCCAAGACAACUUCUGCAAACUCCAGGGUUGAGACAGCCCACAGAAAAGGCUGUGCCACCAAAACUAAGGGCUGCCAACAUCAUCCAUGCCUUCCCAACCCAUCCUGCUGGCCACUGCUCCACCUCCACAGGUGCUCACAUGUGUGUUCUACAACCUCACAGAUGUCUGCAUCUUGUGAUUUUUCCAAGGUAUGUGUCCCGUUCCUUUUGGGAAAAGUCUCACCCUUUUUGUUCUGUUGUGAUGGAAUCAUGAUCUUUGGAGGCUCCUUUGGAGGAAAUCUGCAAACUUGGAUCAGCCCAGCCCAACC